rnacentral:rRNA from 1 species
GGUGAACGCUGGCGGCGUGCUUAAGACAUGCAAGUCGAACGGGCUCUUCGGAGCCAGUGGCGCACGGGUGAGUAACGCGUAACUGACCUACCCCAAAGUCGCGGAUAACGAUUCGAAAGAAUCGCUAAUACGUGAUGUGCUGUCAGAUCCUGUUCUGCCAGUAAAGAUUUAUUGCUUUGGGAUGGGGUUGCGUUCCAUCAGCUAGUUGGUGGGGUAAAGGCCCACUAAGGCGACGACGGAUCGCCGGCCUGAGAGGGUGGCCGGCCACAGGGGCACUGAGACACGGGUCCCACUCCUACGGGAGGCAGCAGUUAGGAAUCGUCCACAAUGGGCGAAAGCCUGAUGGAGCGACGCCGCGUGAGGGAUGAAGGUCGUCGGAUCGUAAACCUCUGAAUCAGGGACGAAAGACGCGAAAGCGGGAGGACGGUACCUGAGUAAUAGCACCGGCUAACUCCGUG